GAAUGCAACAUAAGAAGGUGUUGUUCUAUUCCCUUGGUCGUUCACUAUCAUCUCAACCCUAUCAUUCCUCCACACUGCAGCACAAGAAUAAGUUGUUCCUAAGUCGAUUCCUAUUGCAACUUUCUCACCUUUUCCUGGCAUUUCUUUCUUUGCAAUCACUCACAGGUAACAAAGUUUUGAGAAGGAAAUAUUCAAUGAUGAGAAUAAAUCAUUGUUUGACUUGCUUGGAUAAAUGUAAAGGUUUGUGCAUAUUUAUAAUAUUAUUAGUCUCACUAGCACAAAGAAUGAAUCGUUGGUUGACUUGUAAAAUUUCUUACUUUUGGUCAACAUCGAUAAUAGGGUUAUGCUUUAAAGUAUUUCAACUCUCAAGCUUAAAACACGGAUAAAACACUCAUUUCAAAAGAACUCUAAACAAUCUCUCAACAUUUAAGUGAAUAACAAAAGUUUAGCAUUUUUUUUAGAUAGACGAAAUGACAAAGGUAUCAUAAAUUUACACAUAUAAAGUGGAGACGUCGUUAUAACGUCCGGCCAAACAAUUUCAACACUUUUUGCCUGUUGAACUAUGACGUAUGUGACACAAAAGUUUAAUUUUUUUUUUUUUGGGUUAAGAAAAGUUUAGUAUUCUACUAAUUGAUAAAUGAGAGAUGCUAAAAUUAUUCAAUUAAUAAUACUCGUUCUGUCUCAAAUUAUAAAUUUAAAAAAAAAAUUGUUUUAAAUUAUAAAUUGUUUUACAAUACCAAUAUGACAUUAAUUUAAUUUUUCAAACUAUACUUUAAAGUUUAAACUACUCAUUAAGCUUUCUUAUAUCUAAUCUUUAAUUUAUCUUUUUCAUACUAUUUCUCUGAGGAACAAAUGAGUCUACAAGAAUUAUUGUAUUUAGUUAUAAUAUAGACUAAAUACAUCAACCUUUAUUAAUCUAUUUUUUCUUAUAAAAAGAGCCAAAGAGAGUGUUUAUUAAGGAGAUUAUUGGAAAGUCUUCUAAUUUCUGUUUUAUAUACAAUAUUGAUUGCUUUUUUUUUUUUUUUUUUAUGUUGUAAAUUGGUUGAAACAAUUUAGAAUUUGGGACGAGGGACUAAUUAAACUUACUUUAUAAAGUGAUCAUGAAGACCUUUUCAAAGCAACAAGGAAAUACACUCUCUUUUUUUUCUUGGUGUUUAUACUUUAUACUCAAGUAGUCAAGUUGACACUUACGUCAUUAAAUGUGACUCAGUCAACCAAUAAACAUUUAAUUAAAAAAGUCUGGCCCAGUUGCCUUCAUCCAACAAUUUUUUUUUUAAGAACACAACUUCUUAUUUUUGAAAUAAAAAAAAAUGAAAUUUUUUCUUAGUACAAACAAUCAACCCACACACUGUUCAAUCCAACCCCACACUGCCGGCAGCUUUAUUGCUAUCUCUACCUACUUUUUAUAAAUUGAUUAAACAGUGACCACCGUCUUGUUCAAUGCUCCUUCAGAUACACGAUCAAUGAUCCACUGUUUGAUCAUUUCGUACAUAAAUAUAGUUGGGUUUAAUCGUUAAAAUUAACCAUGCAAUAUACGUGAUAUAUGAAAAAUGGUACAGUAAGAUACACAAUAUGUAUUCAAACAUUGUUAUUUAAUAAGUAGAGUAUCGUAUCCACAGAGAUUGUCCUUUCGUCUGAAUAAUUAUUGUUAAUUAUUUUUGUAAGUUUGACGGUAUAAAAGUUAGGUUGCAAUUUUUAUCUGUUUGCAACAGAGCGAACUUACCUGUUUUUGGUUGCAAAAAAAGUAAGAAGCGGUUAGGAUUCUUCGAAUCCCCUCUGUAUAUUUGUUGUUUGAUAAUAAGUAAUAUAAAUUUCGCGUUUAUUUAUUUUAGGUAGAUUAUAGAAGUGAUGAGAUCAUUGGGAGUUCCUACUUAGGUAAGGCACGACCACCUGACCCAAUGGGCAUCAUCCAUUAGGUACCUAAUUAGGCCUAACCCUCCGAUGGCUAACUGCACCUGCUGAUCGCACGGUGAUCCUUACGUGCGGGGUCUUGUAAUUCAAAGGUAAUUGAAACAUAAACUUUAUAUUGGUUUUCCAGUGUUUCCCAAAGCAAUGAAGGCCAAGGUUCCCUUAGGUCUGUCCAUCUAUGUAUCUUAUGACACUCAUAGCACACGCUCUUUAUACUUUCUUAGUAAUUCUACAAACGAACAACCCUAAUAUAUUAGGUUAUAGCUUUAAGUCGGACAUCUAAGUGCUUGUUUCCCUAAUUACUAACCAUUUAAUUCCUAACUUCGGUAAGGCACCACCCGACCCAAUGGGUAUCAUCCAUUGGAUACCUACGUCUAGGGUCAACAAUUCCUAUGGUAUCUUUGUCAUUUUUAGGUCUUUGUCUUCAAAUAACUUGCCUCGGUACUUUGGAAACAAAAUUCCUCCCAUUUGUAAGUCCUAUGAGACCUCUUGAAUCUUCUUUCUUGUUUCUUGAAUCUUCACAAUUCUUCGGAUGUUCUUGAUGUGCCGAUUUGCAUGAUUUAUUCAUGAAUUACUUCAAAAGCAACCUAAAAUUGCUUUUUUUCGUAAAAAACUAGAAUUUACAGACUCAAAUAUAGAAAACAUUACAAAAGUCUCGAAAUCAUAUGCAAUCAUUCUAAUAAUCCUCCUUUUUGCUACUAAAUCCUACUAAAAUAAACUGAAAAACAUGCUAAGAAUAAUGUAAGAAGACCUAUCAUAAGCGACCACCGUGGGGCAAGGAUCAAACGAUAAUCAAGUACCAUGGGUUCGAAGUGGGAUGCUGAGAAGUUUACCAGAGAUAAUGAUUUUGGGUUAUGGAAGGUAAAGAUGGAACCAGUGUUAAUACAGCAAAAGUGUGAGAAAGCUUUGAAGGGUGAAGGUGUGUUACCGGUCACGAUGUCACAAACGUAAAGACCGAGAUGGUGGACAAGGCUAGGAGUGCCAUUGUCUUGUGCCUCAGGGAUAAAGUUUUGAGAGAUGUAGCAAAGGAAACAACUGCUGCAUCUGUGUGGUCAAAUUACAAAGUGCUUUGGUGGUGUGUUGUUGGUACGAUGAAGAAGGUGAUGUUUCUCACCUUGGGAAUGAUGCCUUAUAGAGCGGUGAUCGUCUAUAGAGACGUUAAACACUCAACAUCAUUCUGGAAAGGCGGUGGGAAGAAUACUCAUGGUUAGUCUGAAGAGGCGGAUGUAAGAAUACUCAUGUUCAACCUUUGAGGUGGAGUUUCAAGGUGAAAGUCAUAGUGGAUGUACGCGUUUGCUAGUUCAGGUAGAGAAAACUCAGCUUGUGGUGGAGUUGAUGACAUCGGGAAUGGUACGACGAUGGAGACCUUGGGUGCUAGGCUCUAGUUGUGAGCAAGAGAAUUCUUCAAGAAGAAGGAAUGCAUUCUAGAGUUUAAAGAAUGUAUGGAAUGACUUAUAGGAUUACCAGAAAAGACCAAGGGUAAUUGGAAGUAAGUGAAUCAUCAAGAAGGCGGAAGGCUUUCCGAUGGUUGAAGUGGUUAUGGUGUAGACUUGUGGAACUACCUAAAAUUCCUAGUGUAGUUGGAUGCAAGGAUGGUCUUCAUGAAGGCGGAAGGCAUUCCGAUGGUUGAAGAGGUUGUGGUGUAGACNAAGGCGGAAGGCAUUCCGAUGGUUGAAGAGGUUGUGGUGUAGACUUCUGGAACUACCUAAAAUUCCUAGUGUAGUUGGAUGCAAGGAUGGUCUUCAAGAACGCCGAAGGCAUUCCAAUGGUUGAAGAGAUUGAGUGGAAGCUUGUGGAGCUACAUGGUGUAGUUGGAAGCAAGGGAAGGUGAAGCAUGGAGAGAGCAACAAGGUGGUUGAUGGUUAAAUUGACAUCAUCACAAAUUUAGAGUUAAGGUGGAGAAUGUUGUAGAAGUGACUCAAAAUUGAAUUUCUACUUGUGCAAAAUCGGCGCCCGAUAUCUCGCUUUAGCAUAAAAAUAAAAUAUAUUUUUAUGGGCUGGAUUUGUUCUAAUUUUAUGCGGGAUACUUUUACUAUAGAUAUAAAUCUUGUAUCAGAGUAAACCUGGAGAAGUAGAGAGCCAGAAAACAAGGGUUUAGAAGCCAACACUAAAACUAGGGUUUUUAGAGUUUACUCUUGACAACAAACUUUAGGGUUGCGACUUGAGAUUGAUUCACCUUGGAGAAACACUAUUAGGAUUGAGUCACUUGGUCACGGGAAGAGAUGGGGACUUUAGGUAGAAUUAUGUUUGAAGACUAAUUAUUGUAACCUCUUUUGAUAUCUCUUUGUAAAGUUACUCGUCAUUAUAUGUUCUCUCAAUUUCAUAAAGAAUACAAAUUACAAAUAAAUCACAUAUGCAAUAAUCUCAUAUCAUUAUUUAAAUCACGUAUAUUAUAAUUUAAGAAACAAAAACCUUGGAGGUUGGGAAACUUUAUUAUGGGCCUCACGCACAAUCCAAUGCGACUAGUACCUUGAGCAACCUCUAAACCGUUAUGCAUAAUCAGUUACGGGUAAAAAGUUAUAGGCUAUCAACUACAUGUAUAUCUGUAAAUGUUAAAUUUUUUGAAAGCAAUAACACAUCAAUUUUUCAUUCUAAACCUUUAUCACAUUCUAUCCAUUCUAAAAUCCUAAUUCCAAAAAUAAAAUGAUCCAUUAUAGUAUGAAUAUAUUCAUUAGAGUCCUAUAAACCAUUUGGAUCCUAAGCAUUAAAAAUAUUAAACCUAAAUAUUCAAAUCAUACCCCGUGGCGGAUUUACAUAGGAGCCCAUGGCUCCCCCAGAUAUCUAAUAAAUAUUAUAUUAGGCAUAUUUCAAUGGUUUCGCAUGUGUCGUAGCAGAAAUUGAAGGCUUUUUGUAUCGUGAGGCCAUGAGUUCGUGGCUCCUUUUUUGGUUUUAAUAAUGCCGUUUUGAUUUUUAUUCACAAAAAGUGUAUCCCAAGAUUUGAACCAGUAACCUUGUGGCAGUUAUUAUGCACAACAACCAUCUAACCCAGACAACAAUUUCUAUCUACUCAUGAAAACGCUUAUCAUAUAUACAUGAUAUGAAUAUUUGGCUCCCCCUAAAAAAUUGGCAUUGAUCAUACCAGUGGCGGACCACUUGAGGACUGGGGAUGGCCAUGGCCUCCCCAUUAUUUUAUAGAAAUUAUCAAAAUACCCUUAGGUUAAAAUGAAAUUUACAACCAUACCCUUGGGUUAAAAUGAAUUUUACAACCAUGCCAUCCCCACUUUUUCUAAUAUUAACAGAGAAGCAUGCCUAGAAUAUGCAGAAGAAGUGGAGAAACUAGCAGAUAAAUUGAUGGAAGUUUGAGGGAUUUGGUAUAAAUUUUGUUUAUGUUGUUGUGCGAAGGGUUGUCUUUGUUUUUGGUGUUUCCUUUUAUUGAUUUCGAAUAUAGCUCUUUGUUAGAUAGUAUUUCCUUUGAGUUUUUUACAUUUUGUCUUUGCUGCACGAGUGCAUGAGUUUACAAUUGGGUGCUCCAUAUUUACUUUAAAAAAAAAAAAAUUCCCUUUUACAUCCUUAGAGUCAUGAUUAAGUGAUUAGAGGCAAAAUUGAGUAAUAGUUUUUAGAUAUAGGCCGUUAUAGUUAUAAUACAAAAACUUAGGAGUUUAUCCCAUUCUUAGUUUACAGGGUACAACAAAUUAUAAUCAUUGAUGACAAGAUUUAAGAGAGCUUAUAUAUUGUUUAAUUUAUUGAAGAAAUAUUUUAUUUCUUAAUUAAAAAUACAAAUUUAUUGUGUAUAAAAUUUGACCGGCUUCGAUCCUCAAUUUAUGUAUGUACAAAAUUUAAUUUAUGAUUUGAUGAACCUUCACAAUGUCAUUGUUUAUUAAGCAUAAGUGGAAAAGAAACUAAGAAAAAAAUUUACACCUUUUUUCCGUAACUAUCAGACCUUUUAUUCCACUACAAUAGAUAAAUAUGCAAUAUUUGGGAAAAAUUUUAAAUUUUCACACAGUAUAAAAUUACAAGAUCUUAGUAUCUUAAAUUCAUAUAAACAAAUUAUUAUACAAGAUCUUAUAUGUUAAUUUUGGUUGCGGUUAUGGUGCAUAAGGAAUCCAUAAAUGGUUUCCGUGAGUUGUACUCCAAAACCAUUAUAUGUACUUAAUGGUUUCCAGCAUCUUGCAUAAAUCAUAAUAUAUUUUGUAUAAAAUUAUGCAAAAACCAUUUUGUUGUGGAAAUAAUUUCUGUGAGUUGUACUCCAAAACCAUUUCUGAAUUUAUGUAGGUGCAUAAGGAUUUCCUUAUACACCAAAACCGCACCCGUUAAUUUUCACACAGUAUAAAAUUACAAGAUCUUGGUACUUUAAAUUCAUAUAAAACUUGAUUCAACCUUUUUUUUAGUCUAUCAAUAAAGAUUAGCUAGCAUAUACAUAGAGAUACAAAAAAAAUUGUUAACAAAAAUGCAAAUUCUUCUGUAAUAAAAAUUCAUAUCAACAUCUCAUUAUAAAUAAACAACGUUUGUUGCUUCUCUCGUAUAUUGGAAGUUUUCACAGAAGUCUCUCUUUUGGUUUUCUCUUUCGUUGGUGAAGAUCACUAACGAAGAAGCUUGAAGUGAUUUUGGGGAAAUAUUAUUACAUCAUUUUGGUCAAAUAAUAGUUUACAAGUGAAACACAUAAAUAUGGUCUAGAUUAAGCUUUUCUAUUAAUGUUUUUCCAUUUUAUUAAUCUAAUUUAAGCUUAUAGUAAAAAAAAUUGUAUGGGUCUUUAAAUUUCCUAUAGAAAAUCCAUACCACUUUUUGAAAAAUGAUUCAUUCCAGGCAUGCACAGGAGUACCAUAAACUCUAAUCCAGGUGCCCCUUUCAUAUAUAUCAUCCUCAUGCGACCAUUUAUGCAAGUCCGAGAACAACAUACCGAAAAAGUGGAGAGCUUCAUUAAACACUUUCCAUAUAUCAUCACCCCCGGUACAUCAUUCACCCUUUGUUGUAAGGAUAACUAUGAAUCUCCGUUCACCACCUUUAACACCAUACUACCAUUAGCCCACAAGCGAUCCUCCGGUUUUGAAUUAUACAAGAGCAUACCAAGAUUCUCAACAGGUCGCGGAAUAUCACUAUCCUUCACCUUCUCCACCUUCGAAAUCCACACCUGCUUCCUUUCCUCCACCUUCUUCCCUUCCUCCACUCUAUUCUCAUCCUUCUUUCCCACCUCUCCCUCAGCUUCACAUUCCUUUUCUUUUUUAAUUUUUAAUUUUUUCGACUUAUUUUUUUUCUUCCUCUUCCCUACAUGAACAUCCACCGUUGCAAUCCUCUCAAUUUUUUUCUCCUGCCUAUCUCUUUCCUCACCCUCCAUCUUACCCACCCUCACAUUUUUUACACCAUUGCCAUGAGUUAGCACCACCGGUGUAACCACCCCAUCCUUCCCAUCACCACGCCUAGAAACCCUAACCUCCUCAUCAUGUUGCGCGAACCUAUCAAACCUAGCAUUUGGAGCCCAAACUCGAAAAUCACCAAUCGAGAUAUUAUUCAAAGCGUGUUCUAAUUUGUCUCUAUUCUUCACAUACUCAAAUCUAACGAGACCAUAGACCUGACUGCAUGAAUUGAGUUGUCUGGCAAUAUAAACAUCGGACAAAAUACCACAUACCUCGAAAAAUUGCCGUAAACGGAACACUGGCAUAGCUUCUGGAAUAUUAGUAAAGUAAAAUGUAACCUUUGUGCCUUCGUAUCGAUUAUUUACGUCCAAAACAAUACCAUGCUGCACCAGUGCACCGUGCCUGUCAGUUUCCUUAAGUCCUUCUGUGUGUGCAAAUCGACAAUCAUGCCAAACCCUAGAGUACCAUCAUGAAUCCAUUUCGACCUCCCCAUAUGCGAAUCGAAUCUUCAAUGCAGCGCUGAAACCCUUGACCUGUCCCGUCCUCGAUCCUCCGGUUGCGUCGCUUUCCUCUUCCUAGACCUAACUACAGACCAAUCACUCCUAUCCCCCCAAUAUUUGCCACCCAGGCUGGACCCCUAUCCCCCCAAUGUAUCUCUCCUCUGGAGAUAAGCUCCGGCGCAGUUGCCACGGAACAAACGUAGGCCGGCCACCACGAAAGCUCACGUCGCUCUCUCUCAUUUGUUUUUUCCUUUAUCAUGUUCUUAGUUUAGAGGGUAUAAAAAAAUUCAGUAGGAAAGGUACAACAUGAAAUAUCAAAAUCAUUGAUGACAAGAUUUAAGAGAACUUAUAUAUUUUUAAUUUAUUAAAGAAAGAUUUUAUUUCUCAUUUAAACAUUUCAAUUUAUAUAGCAUAAAAUUAACUUAGGAUCUAAUUAUUGUGUACAAAAUCUGACCGGCUUCGAUUCUCAAUUUAUGCAUGUACAAAAUUUUACUUAUGAUUUUAACAAAGUUGUUUGGGCCUCAGUGACAAGAAGCUCAUUCCAAGGACAUACCCGGGAAAUACCGAGUUCGAUUCGCAGUGGAAACAACGUUUGACCAGUGCGCAUGCCUCUACGCAUGAGUCAGAUUAGUUGUCCAACUUUGGUGGGUCGGAGACCGGUGCGAAAACCAAAAAAAAAAAAUUAAUUUAUGAUUUUACGAACCUUCACAGUGUCGUUGUUUAUUAAGCAUAAGCGGAAAAGAAACAAAGAAAUUUUUGUACACCUUUUUUCCACUGACAAUGAAUAAAUAUGCUAUAAUGAGUUAUUAAAAAUAAUCAGGCAAAGAUUAUAAUUUUCACACAAUAUAAAAUUACAAGAUCUUAGUAUCUUAAAUUCAUAUAAACAAAUUAUUACAUUGAAGAGCUUUAAAUUCAUAUAUAAAACAUCAUUCAACCUUUUUUCAGUCUAUCAAUAAAGAUUAGCUAGCAUAUACAUAGAGAUACAAAGUUUUUUGUAAACAAAAAUGCAAAUUCUUCCUUCAUUAAUGAAUAUAUACAUUGUAAGUUUUCACACAAGUCUCUCUUUUGGUUUUCUCAUGACUAUAUUGAAUAAGAGACCUAAUGUGAAGAUCACCAACGAAGAAGCCUAAGGAGAUCAUUUCUUCUCAUUCGACUCAAAGUGAUUAGCGAAACUUAAAUUGUAUAUGCUGAACUAUUUCAUCUUGGUGGUCGAUCAUUGGGAUCUAAUGAAAAUCACCAAAUAUUGCUUAGUUACCCUUUGCCUCGACUUAGACUUCACAAAUAUUAGAAAUGCAAUAGCUCUUUCUUUUGCCAUUAAGUCUUGCCAUCAACUAAAGAAUCUACAAAUUUAUAGAAAUAUUACAAGGAUAUGUUAUAUAUAUACCUGACAUCUAUGUAAAUGUGAAUUUACUGGUCCAAAAUUCAGACUUACAAUAUAAUAUUUAAUCAAAAAAAUCACACUUGUUUAAAGAUUUACGGUACUUAUUGCUUUGAUAAACAAUUGAGAAAAAUAUAACAAAGAAGGAAAACAAAUAUAUGUUUUCACCAAAGAUUAAUUGAUGUUGAUUUUGAUGAUAAAAUUAGUAUCAUUUACUAAAUCACCCUUAUUAAUUAUAGUUAGUGAAGUAGUUAAGUUGGAUGAAGUUCAAUAAAUAAGGGUAUUAUAAUGAAAAAAAUAAUAAAUGCUGCAUUGGUAGUCUAAAGUGACAAUUUUUUUGAGAAAAAGAAAAAUGGGUAAAAAGACAAUUAUUGUGAGAUGGAGGGAGUAUUAUUUUGGGCAAAUCUUAUUUAUAAAAGGUCUUAAGUUGUCUUAAACAGCUUUUUGGAGCCAAAAUUUGAGGUUAAUUUUGUCAUUUUAAUAUUGACGUCUCAUUAUUAUUAUUAUUUAAUAUAUAUUUAAGCAAUUGAACAAACUUUUGCUAAAUUUAAUAUUGACAUCUCAUUAUUAUUAUUAUUAUUAUUUAACAUAUAUUUAAGCAAUUGAACAAACAUUUGCUAACUUUGUGCCAUAAACUACUAAAUACGUUUUUUUUUCUUCCAUAAUCUUAGUUUGUUAUUUGGUAGUGCUAUUUUCUCUAUUUAUUUGGCAAUAUAAACACCGAUCCCCAUAUGUUUUUUUUUUUUGUUUUUGUUAACUAUGUUUUUCUAAACAAACUUUUGCAAAAAAAAAAAUUCUCAUUAAAUUUAUACCACUAAAGAAAAGAAAAAAUCUCAUCUAACGUUUGUCUUUGGUAACUAACUCUGUCUACAUAUGUGCCACUUUAUGCCAAACUAAUCAUCUCUCAACUCUCUAAAUAAGUAACAUCAAAUAGUAUUUAUAAGUCACUUCAUCCUUCAUCCUUCGAUUAAAUCAUCUUACUUCAAAUUAAUCGUACGUCCUAUUUUUUUGAUUAAACCAAGUUGCUUAUAAAUCCCAACAUUGAAGAAUGUUGCACCUACAAGAAAGGGUAUGCACUAACCUAUCGUUAUUACACAUAUAUUAUAUAUUGAUAAUUAUUGGAAUUUUGGGAUAGAAUGGAAACUGGCAAUGCAUCUUUGACCUAAGGGGUCACCCAAAUGACAUCACAAUCUUCACUUUCUCUUCAUAAUAAUCUUAGUUUGUUUUCCAUUAAUUGUUUGGAUACAACUAUAUAAAAUGAAUUAUCUUAUUUAUAAUUGCUUCAAUAUUUUGAUUCUUAUUUUGGGAAAAAAUUUUAGAUUCUUAUUUUGGGAAAUUUUUUUAGAUUCUAUUUUUUGUUACAAAUUGUAACAUAGAUUCUAUUUUUUGUUACAAAUUGUAACAAUUGGAUGCACACUUUUAAAAUUGAUUUUUUUUUUACUUCUUAAAAAGUCUAUAACAAAUAGACUCAUCAAAAUAGAAUCUAACCUUUUUUUUUUUCUCUUCAUAAUAAUCUUAGUUUGAUUUCCACUAACUUUCCUAAUUUGUUGACCUACCCUCAUCUAUUGUUUGUUUUUGUUAAGUAACUUUUCCUAGAUAUGUGGCACUUUAUGCCAAACUAAUCCACUCUCUCUCUCUCUCUCUCUCUCUCUAUAUAUAUAAGUGGUCGUCUUGGGUGGUGAUUUCAGGCAAAUUCUUCCGGUCAUUCCAAGAGCACCAAGACAUGAUGUUGUUGAUGCUAUCAUUAAUUCAUCGCGCCUUUGUAAACAUUGUCGAGUCUUAAAAUUGACCAAAAUCAUGAGGCUUCAAAUUGGAUCUUCAUGUUCUGAUGUCAAUGAACUCAAAGAGUUCUCUGACUGGAUUUUAAAUGUUGGAGAUGGAAAUAUUGAAGACAACAAUGAUGGUGAAGCUGAAAUUGAAAUACCAGAUGACAUGUUGAUCAAGAACUCAGGUGACCCAAUUUCUUCAAUUGUUAAUAGCACAUAUCCAUCACUUUUGGAGAAUAUGAGUGAUAUUUCAUUUUUUUAAGAUAGGGCAAUUUUAGCACCUACCAAUGAUAAUUCACUGAACAAUUACAUUUUAUAGAUGAUUCCUGGUGAGAAAAAAAAACAUACUUAAAUGUUGAUAGUCCGUCUACACAUGAUGAAAAUAUUAAUGGUCCUGAUCAGAUUCUCACUCUAGAAUUUUUGAACACCGUCAAAUCUUCAGGUUUGCCAAACCAUGAGUUAAAUCUCAAGGUUGGAGUUCCAAUUAUGUUAUUGAGAAAUAUUGAUUAGCCGUUAAGAUUAUGCAAUGGUACGUGCCUUAUAAUUACGCAAAUGGAGAAUUUCGUACUUGAGGCAAAGAUAAUAUCAGGAAACAGUAUUGGAUAAAAGGUAUAUAUCCCAAGAUUGAGUUUGUCUCCAUCUCCAUCUCCAUCUGAUACAAAACUUCCUCUCACGUUUCAACGUAAACAGUUUCCUAUUAUGGUCUCAUUUACGAUGACUAUCAAUAAGAGUCAAGGACAAUUUCUUAAAAAUGUUGGAAUAUAUCUUCCAAAACCCAUAUUUUCACACGGACAGUUAUAUGUUGCUCUUUCACGCGUUACUUCACGUGAUGGGCUGAAGAUGCUGAUUUGCAAUGACGAAGGACGUGUCUCCAACAAAACUAAUAAUGUUGUCUACAAAGAAGUCUUUCAAAAUUUAAGAUAGAUAAUUUACACAUAUACAUAUAUUCGUAUAUAUAUUCUAUUUGUUUAUUGUUGUGCGCAUCUAGCUAUGUUUUUCAAAGCACUUUUAUUUAAAAUAAUGCCUUUCUUUCGAUCUAUAUAUAUAUAUAUAUAUAUAUAUAUAUAUAUAUAUAUAUGUGUGUGUGUGUGUGUGUCUGUGUGUAGACGCACGCAUAGACGCACAUGCGUGUGUAAGAAAUAAUAUUUAGAAUUUUGUUGUUGACAAAAAAGUCAAAACUUAUCAACUAAAUUCUUUUCACAUAUUAACAAUAUGUUAUGCAUUUUUCUUAUACUUUUUUUUAUAUAUUGUUAUGUAAUUUGUAUUUCUCUUUAUACCUUCUACCAUUUAAAACAAUCGUGUAUAAUCAUACAAAUUUAUUUUAUUUCAUGUCAGGUUUAUCAUCAUCUUUAUGAUGAAUUUUUGAUUUGGAAUCACCAAAAGUCAUGGACACAAAAAUGAGUUUUACUGAUUCAAUUGUUGAGAAUUGACACGUCUUUAUCAUCCAUAAAUUUGUAUAUUAUUACUCAAAACAAACUUAUAUUAGUAGUUGCAUUUGGUUAUUUUUAUUUGUCUAUCCGAUGUGAUAACGAGAAUUCUAAAUUACUUCAAGUUUUUAUUGGUUUUAUUUUGGACACGUUAAUUCAUGCUCACUUAUGUUGGAACAAAGUGUGUUUCACAAUGAACCUUAAUGAGUUUUGAUGAUAACAAGGUAUUAAAAAUUGUCAAUUGGUUAUUUCUAAUAAUUGUUCAAGUGUACAGGACCAAAGGCUAGUCAAGUAAUUUCAAUAGGUCUUGGAAGAACAAUAGAAAGCAAAAGAAUUCUAAGCAUUUGAAGAAAACUGCGUCUGAAGCUUAAAGUGCUUCUGAAGCUGAAGUGCUUCUGAAGUGAUGAUGUCAUCAGAAGCAGAAGCUCAUCAGAUGCAGAAGGUCAUCAGAAGCAAGGUUUUCAUCAGAAGCGAAAUCAACACCAGAAGCUACAUAUAAUCCGUAAAUUCAAACUGAAGAUCCAAAGUAGCUGUUUCUCAUUUCAACCUUAUCUAAGAAGAACGAAGAAUUGAAAGGGAGGUAUCAACGGUCAUUUGGAUAGCACUGAGUAUUUGUCCUUCGUUAACAGAGUUGACAAAGUACAAGUGUACAACCACUACCUCCACUACUCUAUUUUUGUCCACGCUACAAGACAAGACAACAGCUAUGCCUGCAGAAUUUGUGCCUUCAAGAUGGGAAUGAAUUUGAAGCUAAUUCUUCAAAGGACUACACCCAAAUCAGGCAAAGGAUUACUGGUGAAUGAUCAAAGGAUUUCAAAUGACUCUUUAGACGUGCUAAUUAUCUCAACGUCUCUUUCACGCCUCUAUAUAAAGGAGUGAAGACUUGAAGAUUGUAGAUAGUGAUACAUAAGUUAAAAAGCGCCAAAACUCUGUCAAUUUGAUUCUACAAAGCACACUGAAUUUCUGCACUGAUUUGAUACAUCUUAGAAAUUCAAAAGUCUAGAGUCUUUAACGUAUUGUAUUGUGAACACCACUGAUUGUAUAUCAAGUGUUCAAGUCAAACUUAAUUCUUUGUAUUUUUGUUUGAUAAGAAGACUCUUGCGUGUGUGCUUGAGCAUUUUUGUGAAGUCUCAUACUUAGAGAGUAUUAAGCAUUUGUAAUCUUUGUGAUUAUAGUGAAAUCUCCUUGGAAGUGCAAGGGGGACUGGACUACUUCCGUGUUGUGGAAGGAACCAGGAUAACUGCUUGUCUUUGUCUUUCUUUUCUCUGCUCUGAUCCUUUCCGCUGCACAUCUGAUUCUGAUCAUUUCAUCAGAAGCAUUCACAAACUGCUUCUGAAGUCUUAUCAGAAGAAGAAUUUUUAGAGAGAAAAAGAAAACACAAUUCAACCCCCCCUUCUUGUGUUUUUCUCACCUUCAACUUACAACUAUUAUUGUUUCAUUUACGAUUACCUUAUUUAUUAAUCAAUGUCAUAUCUAACUUCCCGUGCAUCGCAUGGGUCUAAAACUAGUAAUAGUUUAAAAGUAAAACACAUAAAUAUGGUUUAGAUUAAGCUUUUCUGACUCUACCAAAAAAAAAAUAAGUUUUUCUGUCCUCGUGAGCUUAACUCAGUUAACUUGGAUAAUACAUAAUAUAUUUAAGGUUCGGGGUUCGAACUCCGACCACCACAAAAAAAUAUUAAGCUUUUCUAUUAAUUUAUUUUCCAUUUUAUUAAUUUAAUUUUAGCUUAUAUACAAAAAAAAAAUUGUGUGGUAAAAAUUACUUAAAAUUUAAACAAUUUAUGUUGAAUACUAAUUCGCGUACUAAAGUGGGUAUCUUUAAAUUUUCUAUAGCUUACUUGGAACAAUUUUAUCAUCAUUACAUGAAUUUCAUAUGAUAAACAUUGACUUACGAAAUUUAAUCUAAAAUGCUUAUAAUGAUCAUGAAAACAUGGGUAAGGCUACGGUAGGAGACCUAUACCGUGAGAGAGCUUUUUUUUUUUCUUCCUUUACAAAAUGAAUAUGGAUCCUAGGAUUUAGUUUAUUCAAUUGAAUGGUAAUGAUUUACAGUAGAGGUGACCUAAUUAAAUGAAGAUGAUUUUUUUCACAGAUUCUAUAUAACUUUUUCUGGGUUGAAAUUGGGAAACUCAAUAGUCAUCUCCAUCCCACAAAUCCUCAUACCCGAAUUCAAAGCAAACUACAUAGUCAUCAUGAAACACAGAAAUCCCUAAGUCAUGAAAUUCUCAAAUGUUAUAUGUCCCCAGUUUAUUUAAAUCACGAAUUUGUCAAACCCACAAAUUAUGAAGUUGGAAAUGUCUAUGAGAAGGGAAGAAGAAGAGAAAAAAGCAAUGAAUUGAAACUUGUUAACGAAAAAUUGAAACUUGUGAUGUGUGUGGGUUAUGGUGUUUUUGAUGUGCAACAACAAUGGUGGAUGUGGAAGAGGUUAGAGAUGAAGCUGGUGAUAGAAUGGUAGCCUUGGGAUUAUGUAAAAAAGUGUUAAAAAAUUAAAAUCUUUAAGCAAAAUUAAACAAAUUUUAAUUUAUAGGGACUAAAACAUGUCAAUUUUGUUUUUCUUGAGGUCUAAAAACAAUAUUUAAUAUAUUUAUCGGGACUAAAAACUUAUUUUACUUUUGUUGUGUAUUGACCAUUCGACUAAUAAUAUUCAAUUAUUUAAAAAAAAAACUCAUAAUAUAUUCUUAUAAACGUGAAUGUAUUUUCAACUUCCUCGUUAUAUUUUUCUAAAGAAAAAAAUGAAGUCAUUAUAUUAAUGGUGUUCAAAGGAAUAGCAACGAUGUUGUAAUCAUUACAGAUCUGAUGGGAAAAUAAUUUUUUUUUAUUUAAGAGGAUAUUCCAAGAUUGUCUUGCCGUUAAAUGAAUAAUUUAAAUAGAAUUUACCUACAACAAUAAGUUACCAAAGUACAACCACCACCAAACACAAGUUAUUUUAAUAGCAAAACUUUCGUAUAGUCUCCUACCAUAGAAAACCUAUUCACAUCUCCUACCUUAAACGGCACCAUGAAAACAUGUUUUAUUCUUCAUAUUUAGCUUUGAUUAAUUUUUUUAUUGAUAAAAAUGACUGAAAUAAAUUAAGAGAUGUUUACAACUAAAUGUAAUCAUCACGCUAGCCAAUCGGAAAGGAUUGUGAUUUGUUUGACCACCAUGUAUUCAGUCGGCGAUUAGGGCUGGGGAAAGUCCGGAACAGUUAUAAACCAUUAAGAAGUUUGUAAAGAAUGCAUUAAACAUUUACAUUACUAUUAAAUUUUAUAUAGGCAUAGUUCAUCAACAUAAUUUGAUUCAUCUUAACUAUAGCAACUGUUAUGUGAAAUAUGGUUGUGUUGCUUCAAGACGACAUUCUUAAAUUUAAGAAUUCUCAUUUUAUAAGGUGUUUUUUUUUUUUUUUGACAAUCAGACAUGCAUUUCAUAUAUUAGAAAGCAAAUCAGUACAAACAGCUGAAGCUGCAGGUUCAGGAACAUAUCCCACCCAAGAACAGGAUCCAAAUUGUUUUGCCAUGCCAACAAGACAAUGUGCAACAACAUUCUUAGACCUUUUAACAGAGACUACAUUACAAUUGGGAAGCUUAGAGAGAAUAUCACUACAAAAAUAACAUUAUCUACAUCAGCUAAAAGGUUACGACCUUUGAGGCAGUUCACUGUUACUUCUGAGUCCGAUUCAAUGAUGAAUUUACCCUCUUGGUUUGUUGUUAGGAUCCACUGGAGACACCAUCUAAGCGCUAAAGCCUCAGCCAGGUUAGGAGACAAUUGCCUCUUUUCCAACUUUGUUGCCGCAAAUUCCACUGCACCUCUAUUGUCCCUAAUCACCAUUCCGGACCCAACAGAUUCGUCCUUGAAACAUGCAGCAUCCACAUUCAAUUGUAACGCACCCGAUGGGGGAGGAGACCAGCUAGCAGGGGAAUUAAUCACCCGGCUAACAGCUGCUACUGUGAUGUUAGCAGCAUUAAACUCAUAGAUGAAAUCCACAGCAGACAACACUAUUUGGAUCGGGUUAAAUUGCUGAUGUUGAAAUAGUAAUUGGUUCCUUCCUUGCCAUAUCUUCCAUAGAGUAAUGCCAAAAAUCUGCGCAGCUAGGUGAUCUUUCUUAUUUAACCAAUCAGACAUCCAUAAUUUUAAACAACAAUGGGAUGGAACAUGAAGGCCUAGAGUUAAAGAGAAACAUGUUUGUUGGGAAAAUCUGCAACACAUAAACAGGUGUUCUGGAGUUUCCUCCUCUUCAAAACAGAGGGGGCAAAUAGUAUCAUUAAGCACACCUUUUCUUCGCAAUCUGCUCCUUGUUGGUAGAAUGUCUUUGGCCAACCUCCAGAGAAAAUUCUGAACACUAGGAGGAGCUUUCAUCCUUCAAAUCGCUUUCCAAAGUUCUUGAUCAUUUGAGGAUGAAGCUUCUGGACACUCCUUUGAAUCAGUCUCUUUGAUGAGAUGAUGGGCUGACCUCACUGAAUAUCUACCAUUCUUCUCCUAGUGCCAAAUUCUUUUGUCUGCAGGCAAUCUCCAAGAUAAUGGAAUAUUGAGAAUCUGUUUCGCUUCAAAAGGUGAGAAUACAUUUCUGAUAAGGUCCCUCUUCCAAAUUUUAGUUUCAGUAUCUAUCAGCUCACUAACACGCGCUUCAGCAGCCAAAAACACAUUGGGGCUACAAAUUUUGAAACCAGCCUGGUUCGAUAACACUUUUUGACCAUCACCUAUAGACCAUCUAGCUCCCUUUUCAAUCACAUUUUUAGCGCUGAACAUACUCCUCCAUGCAUAACUGGGUUGAUAACCAAUUGAAGCAUCCAUGAAUUCGGUUAUGGGAAAGUAACGACUUUUGAAAAUUCUGGUUAGCAAAGAUUCUUGGUUACUAAUCAUUCUCCAACACUGUUUCCCCAGAAGAGUGCUGUUGAAAUCACCAAGGCCUCUAAAACCCAUGCCACCUCUGUCUUUGUUUUUGCCCAGUCUAUCCCAACUAAGCCAGCGAAUCUUCCUUUGUUUUUCAUCAGUACCCCACUAGAAUUUGGCUAACAUUGCUUCAAUAUCAUCACAACACCAAACCGGGAAUUUAUAACAACUCAUAGUGUAUGUUGGAAUCGCUUGGGCAACAGCUUUAAUAAGAGUUUCCUUACCAGCUCUAGAGAGACAUUUUUCUUUCCAUCCCUUAAUCUUUUUCCAAACCCGAUCCUUGACAAAAGAGAAAAUCUCUUUUUUUGAUCUACCAAAAAUCACAGGUAAACCAAGGUAUGUUGAAUGAGAUGUCACAACCUUUACAUCAAUCCUAUCACAGAUCAUAUUUUUCUCAAUUUCAGACAUAUUUCGGCUAUAUGACACUUCAGAUUUUUCCAAGCUUACCGUCUGACCCGAAGCAAUUUGGUAUGAAUGAAGGACAUGUUUGAUUGUGUCUGCUUCCUUCUGAUUAGCUCUGGAAAAUAGGAGACUAUCAUCUGCGAAAAAAAGAUGAGUUAUCUUUGGGGCACCCCUAGCAAUCUGCAGCCCAUGGAUAUUUUUGCUUUGUGCUUCUUUAUGCAACAUACCAGACAGAACAUUAGCGCAUAAAAUGAAAGCAUAGGGGGAUAUAGGAUCACCUUGGCGGAUUCCUCUUUUCGAGAUGAUGUUUCUGGGCUGCCCGUUGAUAAGGAAUUGAUAGGACACUGUGGAUAUGCAUUUCAUAAUUGUAGAAGUAAACUGUUGAGGAAAACCAGUUGCCAAAAGAGCUUUUUCUAUGAAACCCCAUUCCAUCUUGUCGUAUGCUUUAGCCAUGUCAAGCUUUAAGGCCAUCAUAGCCUUCUUCCCUUUUGUCUUCUUUUUUAACCAAUGAAAACACUCCAUAGCAAUGAGAGCAUUAUCUGUAAUGAGUUGCCCUGUCACAAAGGCACUUUGUUCUUCAUCAACCACAUCCGGGAGGAUCAAUUUGAUUUUGUUUGCAACGGUUUUGGUUACUAUUUUCAGAAGUUUUAACUCAACUGACCAAAUGCCAAAAUUGUUAAGCCGGAUGCCAUGACCGGGGUUCGAAUCCCGGUACAUCCACUUGUGUGUGUGAGUUUACAAUAGCUUUGCCUUUUCGUCUAUUUAUAAAAAAAAAUUGUAAAAAUGUGCAUCAAAAUCUUCAUUUAUUCCUUGCUUAUUAUCACUAACUAUUUUUUCUAAAACCUCUUAUCAAUAAGAAAAUUGAGUUAUUUAUAAUCAUAAGGUAACUUUUAAUACUUUUAAUUUUUAUUUAAUUAUAGACAUUAUUACAUUAAAGGUCAUUUAUUUUUUUUUUUUGUUACACUUAGGUCUUUUAUCUCUUAUAAAAGCACAUAUACAUCUUUUUUCGCAUUUUUUUUAUUAAAAAAAAUACAUAAUUUUAUUUUUUAAAAUAUUUUUUUAUUAAAAAUGAAACAAAUCCAGAAAUAUGAUGAAGAUGUUCAUCAUCUUCAUCUUCUUCCUUUGAAUCUUCAUCAUCUUCAUUGAAUCAAAAAAAUUUCUACACAAAUAUAUCUCCAAAUAUCAUGAAUGUUAUAUUCACCACAAAUCUUCUUUUAAACACAAAAAUCAAAACCUAUAGAGAAAGAGAUUUAGUUUCAUCACAAAAAAAAAGAUUUAGUUAUAUAAAUUGUCACGCUUUAUAUUAUUAUUAUUAUUAUUAUUAUUAUUAUUAUUAUUAUUAUUAUUAUUAUUAUUAUUAUUAUUAUUAUUAUUAUUUUCUAACUCAAUAUUCAAGUCCGGCAUAAAAAUAACCUCAAAAUUGAGAGCAGCUUUGCACAUCAAUUUUGUUGUUUCCAGAACAAUCUUAAAUUUCGUAAAGUAUAACCCUUCCGCCAGUGACUAAGCCUCCACCAUCUGCCUUGCAACAUUUGUGAAAUUAAGGUUUUGAUUUUUGUGUUUAAAAGAAGACUUGAGGUGAAUAUAAGAUUAUUUCACGAUAUUUGGAGAUAUAUUUUAGUAGAAUUUUUUAUUUUAUUUAAAGAAGAUGAUGAAGAUUCAAAGGAAGAAGAUGAAGAUGAUGAACAUCUUCAUCAUAUUUUUGGAUUUUUUUUCAGUUUUAAUGAAAAUAUAUUUUUAAAAAUAAAAUUAUGUAUUUUUUGAUAAAAAAAAAUGCGAAAAAAGAUGCAUAUGUGCUUUUAAGAGAGAUAAAGGAUCUAAACGGGAAAAAAUAAAGAUAAAUGACCUAAACGGGAAAAAAUAAAGAUAAAGGACCAAAGUGUUACAAAUAAAUAAGAUAAAGGACCCAUAAUGUAAAAUUAUAUUUAGGUGUUCAAUUUUAAUUAAUUUACACUACAUGACUGUCUUAGAACAAUUAAAAUUUCACAUCAAAUUUCUUUCAUCUGAAUGUCCUUAAAUUUAUCAGUUAUAUUCAUAAAAUUUCUUCUUACCAUUUUGAUUGUUUAAUUUUGUCGUUCCCAACUGCCGCACUUUUCAAUUUUCGUGAGAAUCAUCGUCAUUCGUUUGAUUUUAAAUAUCGUGAGAAUUGCCUUUAUUUCCAGUACCACAUCAGGUAUGGUGACUUGAUUUUUCUUUUUGAUUUGAUUUUUCUUGGUUCUGAGGUAGUUAAUUAUAACAAUUGAGUAAGUCAUCCGUUGUACUUUGAGGACUGCUAGCAGGUGUUGCCGCUGUGAUGUUGUGGGAGUUUGCUAGCAUUUUUUUGGUUGCUGCUGAAAUGGUUAUGUAAUGAGGCUUUUGUUCUUUUGUUUGGACUUAAAGACUUUUGCUGAUAGUGAGGCAGGUCUAUGCGUAUUAACAUAUUUUAUUAGGUUGGGUGCUUAAAUAAAAAAAAUAAGUCACGAUACCUGACGCGGUUCUAGAAACAACGACAAUUCUCACUAUAAUUGGAAAUUGCGGCAGUUUGGAACGACAAAAUUGAACAAUCAAAAUGGGAAGAAGAAGAAAUUUGAUCAAUAUGGAAGAAUAGAGAAGAAGAAAUUUGAAUGAAUGAGAUGUUUUUGUUCUCACGUUCGGUGUUCUGGAAUCGAAGAAAUUUUAUGAAUGUAAAUGAUGAAUUUAAGGACAUCCAGAUGAAAGAAAUUUGAUGUAAAAUUUUAUUUGUUAUAAGUCUUGUAGUGUAAAUUAAUUAAGAUUGAACACCUUAACAUAAAAAAUUAAAUUAAAUCAUUUUCUGUUUCAAAAAAAAAAUUAAAUAAAAAUUAAAGUAUUAAAAGUUACCUUAAGAUUAAGAUUAACUUUCCUUAAAAAAAAUAAAUUAAGAUUAACUCUUUUAUUUUUAGAAAAAAUCUACUCAUUUAUUUGACAUUUAAUAUUAUCUAUGUAUAUUACAUUUUGAUUGGUUGAUAUCAUGAGAGGCUAAAUUACCCUUUAAAUAAGAAAGGGUAACGUAGCCCUCACCGUUAAUGUACCAUAUUAAGCAAGUUGCAAAGAGGGAAAAGAUUAACCUUGACAUAUAUACAGAAGUCAUAUACAUUUAUAAGCACGUUGAACAAAUUAUCAUAUAGUUGACAUUGUCACCUUAAACUUGAAAUUUUACAAUACAAUUUGAAUGAAGUUUUAAUCUUUUUUUACAAAGUCAACAAUGAGUUGAGAGGCUAGCCCGGUGAUGUUAGUUGUUGCAGCUGCAUGGACUAUAAUGAAAGAAUAUUUUAGUAAAGUUUGUUUCCAAUGAUUCUUUUUAUUCUUUACUGCAUUCCCAACCAUAAUACCCUCUUGCACACCAUGCCUCUCAUCAUUUAUCUUCUUCACUAUAACUGCAUCAAAUACACUUGAAAGAAUGCUCGUAUAAUACUCAAAUUGUUCUUGUUCCGCAAUCACGUUAACAUCGAGCCACGUAAAGACCAAAUCAAGUGCAUUAUUGAUCUUUUCCUUUUCUUUUGACGAAAGCAUCAAACUAAUAUCCUUAUCAUUUAUAGCAUUCCUCAUGUUGUAUGCAUACGUCUCUAGUACAACUCUCGCUUCUACCUUCUUCAUAUACCUCUUGUCUUCAUCUUUGUACUUCUCAGCUUCUUUGAUCUUCCUCUCAAUAUCCUCCUUUGACAACCUUCCCUUGUCACUUAUUAUUUUAACCUUCUUAUUAACUCCAAGGGACUUUUCCGUGCUACAAACGUCUAAGAUGCCAUCAUCAUCGAUUUGGAAGCUGAUUUUAAUCUGAGGAACACCUGCCGGAGCCGGAGGAAUUUCCAAAACAAAUUUUCCAAGCAAGUUGUUUUCCCUAGUUAUUUUCCUCUCACCUUCAUAAACAUGAAUUAGAAUAUUCAUUUGGUUGUGCAAAUGUGUGGUGAAUACAUGUUCCAUUUUGGCAGGAAUUUUGGUAUUCCUAGGGAUUAUUGUGUUCAUAAUCCCCCCAUGAGUCUCCAAUCCAAGGGACAAAGGAAUGACCUCCGACAAUUGUAAAUCUUUCUCACUACACUCACCACUCAAUAUAGAAGCAUGGACAGCAGCGCCAUAUGCCACCGCCUCAUCGACAUUGAUGCUUUUGCAUAAAAGCUUCCCCCCGAAGAAAUCACUCACCAUUUGUUGCACUUUUACAAUCCUGGUAGAGCCACCAACAAGGACAACAUCAUGAAUGCUACUCUUGUCCAUCCCACUAUCAAUUAUACACUUUUCCACAAUCUCCAUGCACUUGUCGAAGUGAUUCUUGUUGAGUUCCUCAAACUUUGCACGACUAAUCGAUGAGUAGAAAUCUAUACCUUGAUUUAAACUCUCUAUCUGAAUGGUGGUUGUAAUAUUGGAAGAAAGUAUCCUUUUUGCUUUCUCGCAAGCAGACUUCAACCUCCUAAGGGCUCUUGGAUCUCCACUAAUGUCGAUUUUAUACUUCCUCGAGAACUCAUUCACAAAAUGGUUCACCAUUGUAUUAUCAAAGUCUUGUCCCCCAAGGUGAGUGUCUCCUGCAAUCGCCUUAACAUUGAUAGCACCUUUCUCAAAUGUGAGAAUGGACACGUCCAAAGUACCACCUCCUAAAUCAAAAAUGAAAACAUGUUUACAUCCAUGAUUAAAAGGUUUCAUGUCAAGACCAUAUGCAAUUGCAGCUGCAGAAGGCUCAUUGAUUAUUCGCAUAACAUUGAGGCCAGCAAUAACACCCGCAUCUUGGGUGGACUGGCGUUGUGAGUCAUUAAAGUAAGCAGGCACAGUUAUAACAACAUCCUUCACUGUUGAUCCAAGGUAAACUUCAGCUAUCUCGGCCAUUUUUGCCAAUACCAUCGAUGAGAUUUCUUCAGCAGCAAAAUGCUUUUCCUCGUCUUUAUAGUUAACAACAAUCAUGGGUUUGUCAUUGAGGUUGCCAAUUACUUUGAAGGGCCACGACUUCAUAUCACUUUGUACGAUUGAGUCGCAAAACUUCCUACCAAUUAGCCUCUUUGCAUCUACAAAACAAACAAAAGAGUUGAGUACACUAUGAGAAAAAAUGAUGUACCAUUUUCUUUGCAUUUGAAUAAAUCUGUAUGUAUAAAUAGGAUAACUCUAAUAUAUCUUUGAAUAUGAAAAAUUGUUAUAUAUCAAUUAUGAAUCAAAUUACACUGAUGUAACAUGUAUCGUUACAUCACUAAAUAACUUUUUAUUGGAUAUAUUUUCAUUACAAAAUUUAUAGCUGGAUUAAAAAUUAUUUUGCAUAUAAUACAUCUAUAAAAUCAUUUGAAAUAUAAUAUACAGAUGGUUUAAAAUUAUUUCCAUAUCAAGUUCAGUUGGUUCCAAACCCAGCUUGUAUCCAAAAGAGUUAAUAUAUGUUUACCUGAUGUAAUAUUAGCGGUUUCUGAUUACCCCAUAUAAAAAGAAUUAGAUUCAAACUCUGUAAUUUGAAGAUUGUUUGGAUUUAGAUUUUUAUGAAUUUUGAUCGUACAAAAUCGAUAAAAUGACAGUGAUAAACAAAAAUUCGUUCAAAAUACAGAGUGUGAAAGUACCUUAAAUAUUGAAAUUUGAUGUCAUAAAAUAAAAAAACUAAAGAAUCUUCAAAUUAACAGAGUUGAAAUCUAAAAAAGAAACUUUACAGAAAGUAAACCAAAAACCGUUAAUAUUACAUAGACCCUAUCGAAAAUAAGAAUUUUAACUAAAGAAAUAACAUAAAUAGGAUAAGUUUCAUGCAUUAAAAUAUCAUAUAUAGUUGGCUCAUCAAACAUUAAAAUCAAGGAAAAACAUGAUAGUUUAUCUUAGAGUAUUGUUGUUCACACAUUUGGUUUGGCUGAGAAAUACGAGUAAUUUUCCUUAAUACCCUUCGGCAGUUAACCAUCGAAAUUUUAAAGAAUCGGCUGCAGUUAACUGCUGAGGAAAACUUCAGUAGUUAACUGUCGAGGAAAACUUCGAUAGUUAACUGCCGAGGAAUUUCAAACCUGAAAUUAAAUAAGGAAAUGCACCUAAAUUUUCCCUUAAUUAAAUUUAAUUCUUUACUACAUGAUUUUUUUUAUAAUGUUGUUGAUUUCAUUCAUAUAAUUUUGUUGCCAUAAAUGAAGAAAUAUGAGAUCCUAGAACUACAUAUUCGAUCAUGUUUCUUACUAGUAAUAGAAAAGAGGUUUUAUUUCUAAAAAAAAAAAAAAGAGGUUUUAUUAAUAGAAUGAAUAAUUACAAAUGUAAUUAUUUGAAAGAGAGAUGAAUAAUAUCUAAAAUAUUAUAAAGUAGAGUAAAUAGUCAAUUUCCCCCCUGAAAUUGUAAGUUUCAUCAAUUACCCUCCUGAAAUUAACAAAACUUCAAUUACCCCCCCUGAAAUUUCACAACGUUAUAAAAAUUAAUAUUAUUUUUUCCAAAAACAAACAAUUAAUAGUUAAAUAUUAAAACUAACUAUUAAUUUUGGAAUUUGGGAAAACUACAUGCAUAUAUACAUCAAAAUAGGCUCCAAAAUGGGAAAAAAAAAAUGUAUUUUUUAAAGUGACAAUAAUGGGAUGAUUUGUGGAUUAAUAUUGGGGGUUGUGUAGUUUAAAUGAUUUGAGAAAAUUGUUGAAGGAGUUUGAGGAGUUAAAAUAUUACGAUGGUGAAGGAGAACAUAUAAAUUUAAAUCUGAUUAUUAAUUUGUUUAUAAACCUCUAAAAAUAAUAAUUUUUCUAUUAGAAAUAACCAUUAUUGUCACUUUAAAAAUACACAUUUUUCCCUAUUUUGAUGUAUAUAUGUAUGUAGUUUUUCCAAACUCCAAAAUUAAUAGUUAGCUUUAAAUUUAACUAUUAAUUGUUUGUUUUUAAGAAAAAAAUAAUAUAAAUUUUUAAGUUUGGGGGGCAUUUUGCACAUAAGUGCAAAACUUUAGGAGGGUAUUUGCAAAACGUCAUUUCACUAACAGAAAAAUUUGACGGAGGGGGUAAAUUGACUAACGUUGUGAAAUUUCAGGGGGAUAAUUGAAGUUUUGUUAAUUUCAGGGGGGUAAUUGAUGAAACUUACGAUUUCAGAGAGGAAAUUAAUUAUUUACUCUAUAAAGUAAUAAUAGGUUAGUCAAACCUAUAAAUAAUGACAUACAUCAAUGAAAUUAAUUACAAAUAUAAUUAUUCUAUCAUUUAUAAUGUUUUUUGUUGUUGCAUUUUUUUUAUUGAAUCACCAUUUUAGGUCCAUUAAUUACCGAUGACGAACAUUUUUAUUUUUUGUUGUUGCGUUUUUCAUGUUAAUUAAAGUAAUAAUAUCUGAAAUAUUAGUAUAAAGUAAUAAUAGGUUAGUCAAAUCUAUGAAUAAUGACAAACAUCAAUGAAAUUAAUUACUAAUAAUUUCAAAUAUAAUUAUUCUAUCAUUUGUAACGUUUUUGUUGUUGCAUUUUUUUUUUUUAUUGAAUCAUCAUUUUAGGAAUUAUUAACUACCGAUAGUAGAUAUUAUUCAUCUCUCAUAUUUCUUCAUUUAUGGCAACAAAAUCAUAUGAAUGAAAUCAUAAAAAUAAUUAUGUUUAAUUCCUUAAAAGGAUUAAAGAAUUAAAUUUAAUUAAGGAAAAUUUAGGUGUAUUUCCUUAUUUAAUUUCAGGUUUAAAAUUCCUUGGCAGUUAACUGCAGCCGGUACUUUAAUAUUUCGACAUUUAACUCCCGAUGAUCAUUUAAGUAAUUUACUUGUGUUUAUGAGCCAAAACUAAAUGUAUCAAACAACAAUACUCUUUAUCUUAUCAUGUAUCAUUUUAUCCUAAAUAAAAUCAAGAAUAAUUGAGUUUAGAAGCUUUUACCAAAAACAGUGUUGGUUGGGUUGGAUGCAGCCAUAUUGGAAGCAGCAUCACCAAUCAUUCUUUGAGAGUCAGUGAAGGCAACAUAAGAAGGUGUUGUUCUAUUCCCUUGGUCGUUCACUAUUAUCUCUACCUUAUCAUUCUUCCAUACAGCAACACAAGAAUAGGUUGUUCCUAGGUCGAUUCCUAUUGCAACUUUCUCACUUUUUACUGUCAUUUCUCUCUUGCAAGGUCACCCAGGUUUUGAGAACAAAUUGUUGUUUGUUUUGGCUAAUGUAUAAGGUUUUCUUUGAGGGCUUGGCUUAUAAAAAGAAGUACAAUAUGAACUUCUUUGUAAGUUUCGUUGCUGUUUCGGAUUAGUUUUCAUGAUUUUAAGGUUGGUGGUUAUAAUUUUCACAAAUAACUAGUGGAUAAUAAUUUGCUUAAAAACAAAAAACAAGCAGUGGUGCAUAAUUUAAGACAAAAAUAUUUGCAACGACUAGAAGUCAAGCUGACACUUUCCUCGAAAUUGAUUCAGUAAACUCUUAUCAACUGGAGUUUUGCUACUUGCAAGAGUGAAUAUUCUCCUUGGAUAGCAUAUUAAAUCCAUCUAUAUAGGCUAUAACCCUUAUUUAUAAAAUAAAAAGGAAAAAAAUUCAUUAGACGCCAAACUUGCAUUUCAAAAAUCCAUUUUGAUUUUGUGCCUUACCCUAAUAGAACAACCUUUCUUUCCCAUGGAAACGGUUGGGAAUUCCGCCUUUAUUGCGAUCUAUCCCUAGUCGCUUAAAUGCUACAUUUGAGUUGUCUUGUGUUGGCUUUGAGGGGGUGGAUUUAGUCCCAUAUGGGUUGAAUUGGACUAAGUGUAUAGAAGAGGAGGCACUCCAUGCUUUACAAGCCGGUUUUGUCAAGAUGAGUUAGGCUACAAAUUUCUACGGUUCGCAAAUACUCCAGAGUCGGAAGAGCAUUUUUUUUGUAAAGUGUUUUCCCUAGUUAUUUUCCUCUCACCUUCAUAAACAUGAAUUAGAAUAUUCAUUUGGUUGUGCAAAUGUGUGGUGAAUACAUGUUCCAUUUUGGCAGGAAUUUUGGUAUUCCUAGGGAUUAUUGUGUUCAUAAUCCCCCCCGAGUCUCCAAUCCAAGGGACAAAGGAAUGACCUCCGACAAUAGUAAAUCUUGAACCUUCUCACUACGCUCACCACUCAAUAUAGAAGCAUGGACAGCAGCGCCAUAUGCCACUGCCUCAUCGACAUUGAUGCUUUUGCAUAAAAGCUUCCCCCCGAAGAAAUCACUCACCAUUUGUUGCACUUUUACAAUCCUAGUAGAGCCACCAACAAGGACAACAUCAUGAAUGCUACUCUUGUCCAUCCCACUAUCAAUUAUACACUUUUCUACAAUCUCCAUGCACUUGUCGAAGUGAUUCUUGUUGAGUUCCUCAAACUUUGCGCGACUAAUCGAUGAGUAGAAAUCUAUUCCUUGAUUUAAACUCUCUAUCUCAAUGGUGGUCGUAGUAUUGGAAGAAAGUAUCCUUUUUGCUUUCUCGCAAGCAGAGUUCAACCUCCUAAGGGCUCUUGGAUCUCCACUAAUGUCGAUUUUAUACUUCCUCGAGAACUCUUUCACAAAAUGGUUCACCAUUGUAUUAUCAAAGUCUUGUCCCCUAAGGUGAGUGUCUCCUGCAAUCGCCUUAACAUUGAUAGCACCAAUCUCAAAUGUGAGAAUAGACACGUCCAAAGUACCACCACCUAAAUAAAAAAUGAAAACAUGUAUACAUCCAUGAUUAAAAGGUUUCAUGUCAAGACCAUAUGCAAUUGCAUCUGCAGUAGGCUAGUAGAGUCAUUGAUUACUCGCAUAACAUUAAGGCCAACAAUAGCACCCGCAUCUCGAGUAGACUGGCGUACGUUGUGAAACAUUAAAGUAUGUAGGCACAAUUAUAACAACAUCCUUCACUGUUGAUCCAAGGUAAGCUUCAGCAAUCUCGCCCAUUUUUGUCAAUACCAUGGAUGAGAUUUCUUCUGCAGCAAAAUGCUUUUCCUCGUCAUUAUAGUUAACAACAAUCAUGGGUUUGUCAUUGAGUGGUGCAACGGUAUUACAUAGAAAUGUCACCAAGUUGUAACUGGUUUGAAUCUCUCUUGCUGUGUUUUUCAUAAUUUUUUUUAGAAGUAAAAUUAGGGUUGCAAGAUUUAAUAGGAUUUAUAUAUAAAUAUACUAGACUUUUGACCCCUGCGAAGUCUACUAAUAAACACAAACAAACUUAAUAUUCCAAAUAAAAUACUACCUCCGUCCUUAAUUAUAAGAGCCUUUUGAGAAAAAAAUUUGUCCUUUUUUAUAAGACCCUUUUGGUAUUUACAAGUACAUUAAUUAAUUCUUUACCAACGUACCCUUAUUUAUUUUGCAUUUUUUUCUUCAAUCAACAAUAAAUAUUAUGUUGAAAACAUAAAUUAACUCUCUCUCUCUUAAGGAUAAAAUUGUAAAAACAAUAGUAAUUACAUAGAAAUUUAAUACUACAACCAACUUUCUUAAUUUCCGUAAUUUUUGCAAAAAGCUCCUAUAACCAACUUUCUUAAUUUCUUAAUUUUAAUAAGCAAUAAAUUUACCAAUUUCUAUUCUCACUCAUCAAUUCCUGCGGUGAAUACUCCUUUUAAAAAGACAUCAAACUAUAUUUGUUUGAACAAUGCAAAUAACCCAAAAUCCUUCCCAAACAUACAAACUAAUUAAUAUUAUUUAGUCUCAGUGCACAAUCUUUUUUCUUUUUUUUUUUUUUUGCACUUUCUUCUACUAAUAGGAAUAUAAUAUUUGCAUAAAACACAGACAUGCAAUGGACAAAACAUAUUUGAGGUUUACUACAUCAGGAUCUACUUUAUUUGCACAGUUGGAAGCAACAUAUAAAUGAGCCUUCAUAUACAUUAUGCGCAGUAGAAAUAAAUCAAAAGUAUAGCAGAUCUUUCAAAACACAAAACCAUAACCGAAACAGUCAUUAACGGAAACAAAAGGACAACUGACUUGGACAUCAGCAACACAACCGAAACUCCAUAAUCUUUCAAGAGACUUCACUCAUAGGCUUCAACCUUAACAUGCACCAGCUUAGGCUCUUUUGUAACAGAUGCAUCUUCACCAAUCAAAACAAUAUCAUCUAGUGAUUCGACGCUAUCAGCAGAUCGCUUUCCCAAAGAUUUGAUAGUUGGAGUCACAACUGAAUCAAUUGCGGAAACUUCGUCUUUGUUGCUUGAAUUAACCAGCUUUGGCUCUUUUGUAGCAGAUGCAUCAGAACUAAGCACAACAAAAUCAUCAAGUGAUUCCACGCUAUCAGAAGACCACUUUCCCAAAGGUUUGCUAGUUUGAGUCACAGCCGAAUCAGCCGCUGCAACUUCGUUUUUGAUGCAUAUAUAUUUUUCAGUUUGUUGCUGCUAACUACAACCUAUAUAAUUUAAAAAAUCCUAAACUGCAAAAUAAACGAUCGAAACACACAAAAAUAGAUAUUUUUCUAGCAAAACCCAUAUAUAUAUCGGGUGAUAUACACAUUUACAAACAGCAAGUGGAUCCACGUCCCAAUUUAAAGGCCAUAAGAGUCGCGUGGUAACCAUUGAAUGUAACGAGACAUGUUUGUAAACCAAUGUUGUUAAAUAUCGGCCAUGGUCGCGCCUUGAAGGGAUUGCAUUAUUUGAAGAGUCGCUGAUUUUUUGGCAAACACCACGGCUAAUUUGUGAAGGAUGGAGGUUUCAAGGUUUCAUGGCAUUUUAUUAAUGGCUUAAAGUGGCUUCCCGCCUUGGUCCUAUCAUCCAUCACACAUAACACUUUUAUAAACCAUUAAGUUUUUAUAGAAUGCAAUAACAUAUUGGUAACUAAGUUGCAUAGUUAGCAAGCCUAGGUAGGAAGGAUGAUUGCUCGUUGACAGAUCUUUAAUUUGAAAAAAUUUGCAUCAAAAUCUUCAUGAGAAAUCAUAUAAAGGAGUUAUAUACUUCUAUAAGCAAACCAGACAAUUUAUCUAUCUUAAAGUUGACAUUGUUACCCCUUAAACAAUAAUUUUCCCAAUACAAUUUGCAUGAAGUUUUGACUACUAUUUGGCUAAUUGAUAAAAAUUAUAUACCAAUGAAAGAUAAGUUAGAAGAUGACUUAAAAAUUCUACUAGAGUUUCACUAAAAUUGACUAGAACAAGUAGAAGAUAAUUCAAAUUCAAAUUCAUUGAUUAGGGUUUUGGCCAAAAGCCUACAUUUAUAGAAGGAGUGAAUACCCAAAUUCGUCCUUGGAUUUGCACGAAUCGGCCAAAAACAUCUCCCAAUUAGUCGAAAUGCACGCUUAGUCCCUGAAUUUAACAAACGUCAAUCAAAUUAGUCCUUCCGUCCAAAUGCACCGUUAGUGGUGCUGAGUUGUCUUCCUGCAUGGCUUGUUGUCUUGUACACGUGUACAAGGACGAAUUUGAUUGAAACGCACAAAAUUUCAAUUGUACUUUUGAAUUCAAUUUUUCCUGCUUUUCCAAAUUUACCCUUGUAAUACCUAUACCUUUUCAUGAUCACAUUUCAGCAAUUCCAUCAAAAACAUCCCUGACCGUUCUUCUUCCCGCCUAACCCUUCAUCAUCUUCAUCAGCAUCAUCUCCGGCGAGGAACGUUGCAAAAGAGUCAGUUUUGAUAGAAGAUUUCGUCAUUUCAAAAGGUAACGUCGUUCCUGUUCGUUUUCCAUUCAAUCAUGUUUGUUCUCGUUCGUUUUCUCCGUUAAUGCAGAAAAUGUUGGAAAUGUACCAGGAAAUGCAGAAAAUCAUGUUGCUGAAAAUGGUGGAGGUGUUGUAGAAAAUGUUGGAAAUGUUAAUCCUGGACAUGUUGUAGCUGGAAAUGAUGGACAAGCUGCACAAAAUGCCAGUGUUGGAAAUGUUGCAAUUCAGGGACAAAAUGAUGUCAAUGGUGUUGCAAAUGAAGCAGUGCUUAGACAGGUAUGAAUGUUAGAUUCUAAGGAUCGAUUUUCUAGUAAGUGUAGAAAUUCAGGGACUAAUUUGAUUGAAUUUUUUAUUAAAUAGGGACUGAUAUGAUUGAAAAUGUUGUUGCAGUGUGUUCCUGCAAAGAGGUAUGGCAUUAGAGGUCCAAUUAUUUCAAAUGAGAGACCUAAGCAAAUACCAGUGAGGGGUCCUGCACCUGACAUUGUUCGAGUGCCAUAUCCAAAUUAUGGUCCAUCCGGUUCAAGUCAACCUAAGUUCAUGGAGUUUAUCCCAACCCCCGACUUUCCAAAGAAGUGAAGCUUGAUGCAUGCUUAGAUUGUGCUUUUUGGAAUAUUUUGCUUUGUUUACAUUAUGCCCUCUAGUUGGGUUCUUUUUGGCUAUGUAAUAUUUAAGAACAUCAUUUAUGACUUAUGACUUAUGACUUAUGAGAUAUGACUUAUAGUUGAGUUGCUUUUGCCUAUGUAAUAUUUCAAACUUAAGAGAUAUGACUUAUUUAAUGAUAUUUUCAAGGAUGAAGUUGUGUGUUUUGUCAUUUUUAAUUCGUUUGCUGCAAAUAUAUGCAUUAAGGAUCAACUUGAAAAUAUGUUUUUAUAAUUCAAGGACUUAUUUGACGUUUUUUUGAAAUAAUUCAGGGAUCAAUUUGAUGGCAAGUAAAAAUUAAUAUGGACUGUAUUAGAAAAUAUUUUUUGAAAUCAAUCAAUUUCGUCCUUGAAAUUUUUUGUCAUUAUACAUCAAUUUAGUCCCUGCUUAUGUGGCGUCUGACGUGGCAUCCCAUCUGAGAUGUUAACAGCCACGUCAUCCCCGUUAACGCCCCAAAUGGACGUAGGGACUAAUUUGAUUGACGUUUGUUCUGCAACCUUAUUAUCUUCAAGCCACUUAAAGACCAAAUCAACUGCGUUAUUGAUAUUUUCCUUUUCUUUUGACGAAAGCUUCGAGCUAACAUCUGGAUCAUUUAUGGAAUCCCUCAUAUUGUAUGCGUACCUCUCUAGUGCAUUUCUCGCUUCAACCUUCUUCCUAUGCCUCAUGUCUUCAUCUUUGUAUUUCUCAGCUUCUCUUAUCAUCCUAUCAACUUCCUCCUUUGACAGCCUUCCUUUGUAAGGAUUUUCUAUUCUAACUUGCUUGAUUUUCACAUUUAUAACAAUUUCUUAAAAAGAUGCAGGUAUUUUUUGUAAUUUGAUCAUUUUUCCUUUAGAGCAAUUUUUUUUUCAAAAACACGUUAUUCAACCGGUGCGAAGCACUAAUGUCAUAUAUGUUUCUGAGAAUAGGUAGUGUAACGCCCCAGAUUUUGAUCCAAGACAUUACUUAAAAAUGAUAUGUUUCUUUAAAAAAUAUUUGAGUGAAACUAAUAGAAAGAUAAACUGUUAAAAAUAAAUCAAUAAAAAAUUACUCCUUAAUAAUAGAAUUCAAAAGUAUUUUAGAAGUUACAAAUACAACUUAAUGAAAAUUAAUCUUCUUUUACAUUGAAAAACGCAAUUUGCCCCCAAGUACGCUUCGAUCACACAUCAAGCUCAUAUUUCAUCUUUGGUGCCUACAACAUUAUAUUAAUGUAAGGGUCAAUUUCCGUAUCCAAAUUGGUUCAUACUGAAAGCACAAUAAACAAUGCUCUAAAAUAGAUAGUAUAAAAUCUUCUCGAUCAAAAAGAAAUAAAAAUAACAAGCCAUCUUUUAAGAAAAGAACUCAAAUGAAAUUAUGCAUGAGAUGCAUGCUAUGCUCUUAAGUACUACAUGAUCCAGAUAUAAACAAGCCACAAAGGCUAAAACGAGCCACAAAGGCUAUGCAAAUGUUGUGAUAAUGAAACAAGCCACAAAUGCUAUGCAUAUGCCAUGCCAUGAUGAUUAGUUUCAAAAAUUAAUAUUCUAGCCACUUAGGCAAAAGCAAAAUAGAACCCAACCACUAAGGCAACCACACAACUAAAUCAUAAACAAAUUACAUCCUUUUUAUUCUCAAACAUCACAAAGCAAAUAAAACAUAAUAGAAAUCGAUAUCACCUUCUCAUAUAUAAAAUUCAUAAAUAAAUCCAAGCUUUAAUAAUUAUAUUUAUCUUUUAAUUAUUAUUAUUAUUUUUAUUUUCUUUCAAACCGACAAAAAUCUCUACCACUAUUUCAUAAUAAGAUCCUAACACUUAGUAAGAACGUAUGGGGAAAAAGCCCUUACCUUGGUCGUUUCCUCUUUUAACAACAUGAAAAUUUACCAUCGCACGAAAGAUAAGAGUGUGCCCAACGCUAGAAUCACACAAAAUGGAGGAGAAUGACUAAGAAAUAUUUUUGGAUAUACACAAGAUGAUUGUUGUGUGGGAUAUAUGAUAGACUCCAUCUAUUUCUUUCUUUUACUAACUAUUUGAAAUGUGUAACUCUUAGGAAGGUGAGAGUGGUUUCAAAUAUUAAGAGACAAAUAGAUGCAAAGCAAGACACGUUACAAAAUAAAGAUAAUUUAUGGUGAAAAUGAAUUAGUAAUAAAAUCAAAUCACUCGGGUCAAAGGUACUACUAGAGAGAGAGACUCGUAAGACCAACAAAACAUUUAACCAUCUUAAAAUAAUUUAAAGCAUUAUAUAUAAAAAUAUUAAAAUAAAUAGAAUUAUUAAAAAGAACAUAUAUAAAAAUAUAAAAAUAAAUAGAAUUAUUAAAAAGAACAUAUAUUAAAAUAGAAUUAUUAAAAAGAACAUAUAUUAGAUAAAUUGCAUCAACAUUAUUAAAAAGAGUAGAAGCCUGAGUGCAAAUUCUAAUAAGUUUUAGGCCCCGUUUGGAUUGGCUUAUUUUGAGCUUAUGUGUGCUUAUUUAUUUUCAUAAGUUUUUUUAAAGGUGUUUGGGUAAAUAAAUAAAAAUAGCUUAUCAUAGUUUCAUAAGCUGCUUAUGUCAUAUUUUAAUAAGCCUAAAUUUUCAGCUUACCCACCGGCUUAACAAGGAGCUUAUGAAUUUAUGUAACCUCCUUCGAUUCUCUCUGGAUCCACUUUUUCAAAACAUAUAUUUUUAUUUUAUUUUUUUGUUUUUAGAAAAAAAAAACAUAUAUUUUAAUUAUAAUGUUAGUUAUCUUUGGUUGUGCAUGAGUAACAAAAUGGCUAUAUAUUUAUCUUACUAAAGUAACACACGUAACUACGAUUUUUUUUUAAGAAUGAUUUUUAUUAUUUUUUUGUUACAUAACAAAAUGAAACUGAAUAAAAAAAAUAAACUUAACUUGUCUUUUUUUGGUAACAAAUUGUACAUUAAUAUCUAUAUAUAUGGUAAGUUUACAAUCAUAAUUUUCCAAGUUUAUAUUUAUAUUAUUAUACUUUUUUUUAAAAGAAAGCUUAUCAUAUAUUAUUAUACUUGUGUAUAAUGAUGUUUAGACUAUUUAUUUACACCUCGAAUGUUAAUUUUGUCUAAUAAGGAUUUUCUAUUCUAACUUGCUUGAUUUUCACAUUUAUAACAAUUUCUUAGAAAGAUGCAGAUAUUUUUUGUAAUUUGAUCAUUUCUCCUUUAGAGCAAUUUUUUUUCAAAAACACGUUAUUCAACCCGUGCGAAGCACUAAUAUCGUACAUGUUUCUGAGAAUAGGUAGUGUCAUACAUGUUUCUGAGAAUUGAGAAAGAAUUGGCAAAGGUGUUUUGGUUUGGUUAUAGAGAUUGUGAUGCUUUUGUGUAGGUAUAUAUAUCUUGGGGGUUAUUCGACAGUGAAGUAGAAGUUGCAAGGUCCUAAGCACUAAUGAAUUAUUACAUUCUACCUGCACUGAAUUUAUUACAUUUGAUUAUCAAGCUCAUUUGCAAUGCAUCCAACAUGUAUCUCCCUUUUGAUUUUCCAAUUGGUAAGUAAAAUUAUCAUUGUACAGAAUAGAAAGUACAAUGCCUAAAUUGUAGCAUGGACUUUCCUUAGCAAGUUCAAAUAUGUUUUGAUAAAAAGUAAGCAAUCAGAUAUUUUGAAAAUGUGAUCACAAUCGUGGAUUUAGAAGAAUAUAAAUCAAUGCGAUCACUGAGUUUGAAUAAGGAUUUGUCACUGUCAAUCCUUCAUAAAUGUUGUUUUUUGAUACACUAAAAAACCAAAAGCAAUUUAUGAAUUAUAUUGGAGCCUGUGACUGUUAAUUUUCGUGUAGUGUAGAGGAGCUCAAGUUAUUUAGUAUGAUCAUGAUGAUGUUAAUUAACAAAUAUGAGGAUUUGUAUUAUUCAGUCUAUGUAUAUUUGUUUAGAUUACAUAAUAUGUGCACUAUUUGGCUGUGUUUCUUAUCUAGUGCGGUAACAUUUUGGGAUUGGCUUAGGACACUUGGAUUUUAUCUUAAGAAAUCAGUUUCAUUUGACUUAUUCAAACAUGUAGUAAGGAUUAAAAAUAAAAAUAAAAACAGUAUUCAACCCGUGCGAAGAACGCGACCUUCGUUCUCAAAAUUACGAAGAAUAAGAAUGUUCCGUAAUUUGAACAUCCCUCUUUUAGAGAAAUUUUUUAAAAAAAUACAUAAUUUAACCUGUGCGAAGCACGGGUUUGUAACUAAUUUAUCUAUGAAAAUGGUUUUGGGUUUUCUUUGAAAUAGGAGAUUCUUGGAAAAAUUGGAGUUUAUGUGGAAAAAAUUGGAGUUGCAUUGGAAAAAUAGGAGUUGAUUUGGAAAUUCUUCGAUAAAAUAAUAUAAAGAGGCUGUUCAUGUGCUUCUCUCUUUUAACUCUUCCAUUUUCUUUUUUAAUUCUAGAAAUAGAGUGUGACAUUUAGAUUUUUUAUAAAUAAAAAAUUACACAACUGACAUCGUCAUCACUUAAGUGAUUCAACAAGAUGGUUUAACGGUACAAUUUAACGGUAAAAAAUUACACAAGUGACAUCCUCAUCACUGACAUUGUCACUUAAAUUUGAAAUUUCACGGUACAAUUUGAAUGAAGGUUUAACUUUUUAUAAAGUCAAUCAUUACAGAAGAAACUAUUCCGGUGAUGUCACCUGUUGUAGCUGCAUACACUGUCUCGAAACAAUAUUUGGCUAAUAAUGGUAACCAACGAUUCUUUUUUUUGUUCACGGGAUGUCCAACCAUAGUACCUUCUUGCACACAAUGUCCCUCAUCCUUUAUCAUCUUUAUAACAAUUGGAUCAAACACACUUGAAAGAAUGCUACUAUAAUGUUCAAAAUCUUGUUGUUCUGCAACCACAUUAACGUCAAGCCACUUAAAGACCAAAUCAGUUGCGUUAUUGAUGUUUGCCUUUUCUUUUGACGAAAUCUUCGAGCUAAUAUCCGGAUCAUUUAUGAAUUCCCUCAUAUUGUAUGCGUACAUCUCUAGUGCAUUUCUCGCUUCAACCUUCUUCCUAUGCCUCAUGUCUUCAUCUUUGUAUUUGUCAGCUUCUCUUAUCAUCCUAUCAACUUCCUCCUGUGACAGUCUUCCCUUGUCAUUUACUAUUUUAAACCUUUUAUCAAUUCCCGAGGCUUUUUCCGUAACAGAGACGUCUAAGAUGCCAUCAUCGUUAAUUUGGAAGUUGACCACGAAAUGUAGAACACCUUUUGGACGUGGAGGAAUUUCAAACUCAAAAGCUCCUAGCAAGUUGUUGUCCUUAGUUAUUUGCCUCUCACCCUCAUAAACAUGAAUCGAAAUAACUUUUAGGUUGUCUUCAGCUGUGGUGAAUGACUUUUCCCUAUUGGUAGGAAUCGUGGUAUUCCUAGGAAUUAUUACGCCCAUGAGGUCCCCUUUCAUAUUAAUUCCAAGGGACAAAGGAUUGACAUCCCUCAAUGUCAAAUCUUGAAACUUUUCACAAAUCGCACCACUUGCUAUAAAAGCAUGGACAGCAGCGCCAUAUGCAACCGCCUCAUCUACAUUGAUGUUUUUACAUAACUCCGUCCCACUACCCUUAUUAAUUCCAAAGAAAUCAAUCAAACGUUGUUGCACUUUUACAAUCCUGGUAGAGCCGCCAACAAGCACAACAUCAUGAAUUUUACUCUUCACUAUCCCACUAUCUUCUAUACACUUUUCUACACUCUCCAUGCACCGGUCAAAAAGACUCUUACUGAGAUUGUCGAAAAUUCCACGACUAAUCACUGAGGAGAAAUCUUCACCUUUAUAUAAACAAUCUAUCUCGAUGUCAGUCUUAUUAUUGGAUGAAAGUGUACAUUUUGCUCUCUCGCAAGCAGUCUUCAGCCUCCUAAUGGCUCUUGGAUCUCCACUAAUGUCGAGUUUAUGUUUUCUCAAGAACUCUUUCACAAAAUGGUUCACCAUUGCAUUAUCAAAGUCUUGUCCCCCGAGGUGAGUGUCUCCUCCAGUGGCCUUAACAUUGAUAUCACCAUUCUCAAAUGUGAGAACAGACACGUCCAAAGUACCACCACCUAAGUCAAAAAUGAAAACAUUUCUACAUCCAUGAUUAAAUGGUUUCAAGUCAAGGCCAUAUGCAAUUGCAGCUGCAGUAGGCUCAUUGAGUAUUCGCAAAACAUUGAGGCCAGCAAUAGCACCCGCAUCUCGAGUAGACUGGCGUUGUGAGUCAUUAAAGUAUGCAGGCACAGUUAUAACAACAUCCUCCACUAUUGAUCCAAGGAAGGUUUCUGCUAUCUCGCGCAUUUUCACCAAUACCAUGGAUGAGAUUUCUUCAGCAGCAAAAUGUUUUUCCUCGUCAUUAUAGUUAACAACAAUCAUGGGUUUGUCAUUCAGGUCACCAAUUACUUUGAAUGGCCACAACUUCACAUCACUUUGUACUAUGGGAUCACUAAAUUUCCGACCAAUUAGCCUCUUUGCAUCUACAAAACAAAAGAGAGUUGUGUACACUAUGAAAAACAAUUGGAUCGCUUUAUGAAUUAAUCAUUCUAUGUGGAUUUGAAUAAAUCCAUAUAUAUAUAAAUAGGAUAACUUUAAUAUAUAUAGCUUGUAUAGAAAAUACUAUUAUAUAUUUAACCCCGUAAGUAAUACAAUCUUGGGAUUUUGGUCCCUUAUAAAAAACAAUAACAAAUCAGCUCCUAUGUUUAUCCUCUUUUGCACUUUUGGCCUUCCGACCAAUUUUAAUCAAAUUAAUGCAUAUGUGACACCCAUAUCACUUUAUUUAUUAGGUUUAAUUGCAGUUUUUCCCCCUAAGUAUCAUAAUCUUGCGAUUCUGGCCCCUUAAAAAAAUAUAAAGUCACACGUGGCACCCCCUUUAAAUGAUAUGUGGCCAAAAUCGUAAAAUUGUGAUAUUAAGGGAUCAAAAUUGAAACUAAGCCUAAUAUGUAUUGUUACAACGUGAAAUAACUUUUUAUUGGAUAUUUUCAUUACAAAGAGAACUCUUUAUUUUGCUUAUGAACUCGUGGGAUACACAAAAAUUGUAUUAUCAUGUAUAAAAAUAAAACUAGUACUAAUCUAUCACGUCUUUGAAUGAACUUUGAGUUAAAAUACUCUUAUUAAAAAAAAAAUCAUAUAUAUAAGCCACAGUUGCAUAAUUCUCUUACAAAAUAAUCAUGCAUGUGUUUUCUUAAAAAUUUAGUAGAAAGUAACGAACAUUGUCGAUAUGCUCAUGAACUUUACUAAUAAUUUUGUUAAGCUUUUGAAGAUCUAUUAAUAUAAAAUAAUAGUGGUCAUUCAUCAUGAGUUAUUGCUUUAAAAAAAACAAAGAACCAAAACUUUCAAUAAUCUUUACUUCUAAUUUUCAUAUCAGAUAGAUUAUUGAAAAGAAAUAUUUAGUUUCUCUUCUUGUUAAUUUCUUUAUAUUGUAAUAGAACCGAAAAUACAUAUUAAUAAAAAAUAUAUCAAAUACACCUACUAAUACUAUCACACUUCAAAAAAUAACCGAAAAUACAUACUACUAAAAAAAAAGGAUUAAAUAUGUUUUUUAGUCCCUAUAAAUAUACCAUAUUUUUUUAAUAUUAAAUGAGUCCUCGUAUAUUUUCUCAUAAAAAUUACUCAACUUUUUAUUUUCUUUAAAAAAAAUGAGUAACCUAUUUCACUAUAUUUUAGCGUUAUAAAAUAAAAAGUUAUAAUAUGUAGUAACAAAUUUAAUCAUAAAAUAUUUGCAACAAACUAAAGUUGGAUGACGUCUUCAAAAUAACUAAAGAGUGCAACAUCAUAGUUUGUAACUCUAACAUGUUUUGAUUUUUAAUAUAGAGGAUGUGUCAAUUUUAAAAAUUUGACUUUGAUUUUCAAUAUAGAGGAUGUGUUGUAUCAAUUUUAGAAAUUAGACUUGAUUUAUAACAAAAACAUAUUUUUAAAAGAAAGAUUAUAACCAAAACCUUUGUUAUUCUCCUUCCUCCCUAUGAGAAUGAGAAUGAAAAUAAAAAUAAAAAUAUGAACAUUAUUGGGUAAGUAAGUUUAUUGGAUCAAUGUCUGGUUUUACUCAAAACCCGUUAUUUUUUUUUUAUAGAUUUUUCAUUUUUUAAAACCAUAUCCACUCAAUCAUCCAACCCAUUUUUUUGGAUGGAUUUGAGGGAUUUUUUUGGGUUGACUCAACCCAUUUAAUAUACACCCAUAAAACCAUAAGGAAAGGCAUAAAAUUAUUACUCCCUCCGUCCCAAAUUGUAUGUCACUUUAGAAAAAAUAUUUGUCCCAAAUUGUAUGUCGCUUUACAAUACCAAUGAAAAAUUAAUGUUACUUUUCCUAUUAUAUCCUUAACUAUUUAUUACUCUCUCUUCUUUCAAUUCCUUCAUUUAUCUUUCUCAUAUCAUUUAUUGAGGAUAAUUUUGUAAAACAACUCAUAAUAUCUCUUUCCCACACAAUAUUAAUUACAUUUCUUAAUAUGUGUGAAAUGCCCAAAACGUCAUGCAAUUUGGGACGGAGGGAGUAAAUGUAUAACAUCUAUCGAGACAAAAUAUGAUAGUUUACCUCUAUCAGAUAAAAUUAAUUGCACUAUUCUUAAUAAUUACUACUCCCUCCGUUCCAAAUUGUAUGUUGCUUUAGGGAAAAAAAUUUGUCCUAAAUUGUAUGUCGCUUUACAGUUACUUUUUCUAUUAUAACCUUAACUAUUUAUUACUCUAUCUUAUUUCAAUUCUUACAUUUAUUUUUCUCAUAUUAUUUAUUAAGUACAAGUUUGUAAAACAACUCAUAAUAUCUCUUUUCCACACAAAAUUAAUUAUAUUUCUUAAUAUAUGUGAAAUGCCCAAAACGUCAUACAAUUUGGGACGGAGGGAGUAAUAUUUAUGUAUCAUAACCCCUUUCAAAAAAGAUAUUUCUGUAUCUUAAUAAUUAAAAUUUCUAUUUAUUUAAAUAUAAUUAAAUUUAAUUCAUUUUAAUAUAUGAAUUUUCUGCCAAUUUUUUUAUAAUAUAUCAAGUAGAUAUAACACUUAUGUUCCCACACCUACGCUUCACUCUUCUUUCAUACUAGUAUAUUUUAUUUUUUAUUUCACCCUUUUCUCUCCUUUUAUAGAAAAUUAUCAAAGAAUUCGAUUAAAGUACGAUCCAUGAAAGAUGAAUCUUCCAGAUCGUUUACUGUCACUGUUUGACCGCAUGUUCUUCCUAUUCUCUUCCGACAUUUUUCUACCAAAACAUGUUUUAUGAAAGCAAACUACCUUUUGUUUUUGGAAUGAGAAAGGAACUACCUUUGAAAUGGGUUAUUUUUAUGUGUUUGAUAUAUUUUCAACCAGUGAAAACCACCUUUAGACACAACUCCACCACCACUAAAUUCCUCUUCUACAAUUUAAUUUCAUGAACAUUUGGAAUGUACUCACUUCGAUUACUAUUAUAAAUAAAAAUCAAUUUUUUAGAUUCAUUUAUUAAAUUAUGUAUUUGAUCUAUAAUUAGUAAAGUCAAGAAUAAUUGAGUUUAGAAGCUUUUACCGAAAAUAGUGUUUGUUGGGUUCGAAGCAGCUAUAUUGAAAGCAGCAUCACCAAUCAUUCUUUCAGAGUCUUUGAAUGCAACAAAAGAAGGUGUUGUUCUCUUCCCUAGGUCGUUCACUAUUAUAUCUAUCUCUCCAUUCUUACACACUGCAACACAAGAAUAGGUUGUUCCUAGGUCGAUUCCUAUUGCUACUUUCUUACCUCUUCCUGACAUUUCUUUCUUUGCAAUCACUCACAGGUAACAAAGUUUUGAGUAGAAAAUAUAGAACGAUG
rnacentral:lncRNA from 1 species